UACGGAGGGUGCAAGCGUUAAUCGGAAUUACUGGGCGUAAAGCGCACGCAGGCGGUCUGUCAAGUCGGAUGUGAAAUCCCCGGGCUCAACCUGGGAACUGCAUUCGAAACUGGCAGGCUAGAGUCUUGUAGAGGGGGGUAGAAUUCCAGGUGUAGCGGUGAAAUGCGUAGAGAUCUGGAGGAAUACCGGUGGCGAAGGCGGCCCCCUGGACAAAGACUGACGCUCAGGUGCGAAAGCGUGGGUGGCAAACAGG
rnacentral:rRNA from 1 species